rnacentral:rRNA from 1 species
GGUUCGAUUAUGGUCAGAUUUUCGAACGCUGGCGGGAUGUUUACAUGCGGGUGCCGAACGGCAGCACGGACUUCGGUCUGGUGGCGAGUGGCGGUCGGUGAGUAAAUAUCGAACGUGCCUAGUAGCGGGGAUAACUACGCGAAAGCGUAGCUAAUACCGUGCGCCAUACUGCUCCCCGGGGGAAAGCGGGGGACUUCUGGCCUUCGCACUAUUAGAGCGGCUGAUAUCGAUUAGCGGUUGGUGGGCAACGCCCAUUAAGGCGACGAUCCAGCUGGUUUGAGAGGACGACCAGCCACACUGGGAUCGACACGGCCCAGACUCCUACGGAGGCAGCAGGGCUGGAUACUGAAACUGAUCCAGCCAUCCCGCGUGGCGGAAGGCCUCGGGUUGUAAAGCACUUUCGCAGAGAAACGGCACGUAUACUACCCGUGCAACUGACGGCACUGCAGAAUAAGCACUGGCUAACUACGUACCAGCAGCCGCGGGUAAUGCUGUAGGGUGCACGUUAAUCGGAAUUACUGGCGUAAAGGCGCAGGUUCGAAAGAAAGAUGUGAAAUCCCAGAGCUAACUGAACCAUUUAACUACCGAGCCAGAGGUACAGAGGGAGGUGGAAUUCUGCGUGAGCAGUGAAAUGCGUAGAUAUGCGGAGGAACACCGAUGGCGAAGGCAGCCUCCUGGGAUAACACUGACGCUCAUGCACGAAAGCGUGGGGAGCAACAGGAUUAGAUAACGGUAGUCCACGCCCUAAACGAUGUCAACUAGCUGUUAGCCCUGGCUCGUAGUAUGCAGCUAACGCGGGUAAGUUGACCGCCCGGGGAGUACGGUCGCAAGAUUAAAACUCCCAAGAAUUGAUGGAACGCACAAGCGUGGAUAUGGACCACUCCGAUGCAACGCGAAAACCUUACCUUAUCCUUGACAUGUCUGGAACCCGAAGAGAUUUGGGAGUGCUGCAAGAGAAACCGAACAGGUGCUGCGAUGGCUGUCGUCAGUCGUGUCGUGAUGGGUUAAGUCCCGCAACGAGCGCAACCUUGUCAUUAGUUGCUACGAAAGGGCACUCUAUCGAGACUGGUGACAAACUGGAGGAAGGUGGGGAGAUGACGUCAAGUCCUCAUGGCCCUUAUGGGUAGGGCUUCACACGUCAUACAAUGGUCGGGACAGAGGUCGCCAACCCGCGAGGGGGAGCGCCAAUCCCAGAAACCCGAUCGUAGUCCGCCGGAUCGCAGUCUGCAACUCGACUGUGUGAAGUCGGAAUCGCUAGUAAUCGCGGAUCAGCAUGGGUCGCGGUGAAUACGUUCCCGGGUCUUGUACACACCGCCCGUCACACCAUGGGAGUGGGUUUUACCAGAAGUAGUUAUCAACCGUAAGGAGGGCGAUUACCACGGUAGGAUUCAUGACUGGGGUGAAGUCGUAACAAUGUAAC